UACGUAGGUGGCAAGCGAUACUCGGAAUCACUAGGCGUAAAGCGCAGGUAGGCGGUUUGGUAAGUCUUUUGUGAAAGCUCCCGGCUCAACUGGGAGAGGUCAAGGGAAACUACCGGACUAGAGUGUGGUAGGGGAUACUGGAAUUCCUGGUGUAGCGGUGAAAUGCGUAGAUAUCAGGAGGAACACCGGUGGCGAAGGCGGGUCUCUGGGCCGAUAUUGACGCUGAGGAGCGAAAGCGUGGGGAGCGAACAGG
rnacentral:rRNA from 1 species